AAUGAGGACUAGAAUCAACGGCAUCACGAGGAUCCCACUGUCUCCCCCCUCCAAUCAGUGAAACUGAUCUCCCCGUGAAGAAGCGGGGAUACAAAUAUAAGACGAGAAGACCCCAUGGAGCUUUAAACCCAACAGCACCCGUUUAUUUUCAUCCUCACAUAAGUUAGGUUAUGCCUGUUUGGUUUUAGGUUGGGGUGACCACGGAGUAUAAAACAACCUCCAUGAAAAAAGGACCAAAAAUCCUUAUUAGAGAAAGACAUUUCUAAAAUUAAUAAAUUAAUUUUUAAUGAUCCGAUAUUCGAUCAACGAACCAAGUUACCC
rnacentral:rRNA from 1 species